CCUACGGGAGGCAGCAGUAGGGAAUUUUCGGCAAUGGUGGGAACACUGACCGAGCAACGCCGCGUGAACGAAGAAGUUAUUCGUAAUGUAAAGUUCUUUUAACAGGGAAGAAAGAGAAAUUUGACGUUACCUGAAGAAUAAGCCCCGGCUAACUACGUGCCAGCAGCCGCGGUAAUACGUAGGGAGCGAGCGGUAUCCGGAAUUAUUGGGCGUAAAGGGUGCGUAGAUGGUAUAGUAAGUCUUUUGUAAAAAUGCGGGGCUCAACCCCGUAGGGCAAAAGAUACUGCAAAGCUAGAGUAGGAGAGAGGCAAGUGGAACGACAGGUGUAGCGGUAAAAUGCGUAGAUAUAUGUAAGAACACCAGUGGCGAAGGCGGCUUGCUGGGUCGAUACUGACAUUGAGGCACGAAAGCGUGGGGAGCAAACAGGAUUAGAUACCCUAGUAGUC
rnacentral:rRNA from 1 species